UCUAGGAGUAGACCAGAAUUACAGGACAAAACUGAGGACUGGAUUGAUGUCACUGUAACAAACAAGGUUUCUUUCUCACCUCUUUUAGCUCUCUCCUCCACUUCCCUGCACCACCUUUUGAAAGGCAGAGAACACAGCAAAAUAAACUGUAAUACUCUGUUUUUAAUUAUCCUUGCUCAGCAAAUUUCCCCUUAUUAUUCAAUAGUUGUGGCAGACAACCACGACCCGCCACCCGUCUUUAAAGCUGUCUUAAGAGAAACAAGAGGUCUUAAGCACCUGGCCGUGUUACCUUUACUCACUACCUCUGGAGCGCAGGUACACGGGCCAAGCUCGGCACCCCAGCGCCCAGGGAAGCGGGGCCCGGCCGAGUCCUCGGCUUUCCCGCCGCCGGAGCUGCCGUGCGUGUCUCCCUUCUCCCUCUGGAGGGAGACACAGUCCAGUGUUUGGCUGCCGCCGGCGCCGCCGCGUCCCUCCUGCCCCUGCUCCGGCGGCCGCGGCCCCCCUUCCCCGGGGCAGCUGCCCUGCCCGGCCCGGCCCCUCAGCUCCCUCCCGGCCCGCUGCCCCAGCCUCGCACCGCAGGGCCAGAGGGGUCCCGGGGAGAGCGGCGGGGCCGCCCCGGGUCCGCGGGGAUCUCCCCGGCCACACGCGCCUGGGCGUCAACUUCGCACCCCCGCCCCGCCGCUCGGAGCGGAGAGGAGCGGAGAGAAGGGAGGGCAGGGCAGGGGAGGGGAAGGGAGAGCUGCGCCGCGGAGCGGAGCGGGCGGCGGAGGGAGGCGGCCCAAGCCCAAGCCCCAGCGUGCGGGGGCGGCGAGUGCUGCUCGGUCAGACAGAGCGGCGGCCGCUGGGACCUGCUCCCUCGCAAGGGCUGGGAAGGAGAGCCCCGAGUGGCCGGAUAAAUACGGGGGAGGAGAAGGGCGUCUCUCCCUCUCCCCACCUCCCUCCACCUCCUCCCUCCCCCCCGCCGCGGAGGGCGCGCUUGGAACUGCCUCUCUGUGUCCGGGCGCCCAGGGCGUCUCCGCGCCCUUCCGCGGUGCGGUGCGGUGCGGUGCGGUGCGCGCAGGCUGGGCGCGGGAGGCUGCUGCUGCUGCUGCUGCUGCUGCUGCUGCUGCUGAAGGUGAAGCUCUCGCUCUCCAAUUACUUUUCCCAAGAGAGAGAAGGAGGCAGCAGGAGGGGGAAGUCGUGCUGUGUGUGGAAGGCACACCAAUCAGAGAUGCUCUAACGGAGGGACUGCUGCAGGACGCGCCGGCUUCUCCUCCUUCCUCUGCCGGCGGGGCUGAAUCGGGACCACGCGCAGCUGGCGUAGGGGCCGGAGCCGUACUGGGCUGCAGGACUUACCCAUCUCCGCUUUUCCAUUAG
rnacentral:lncRNA from 1 species